UCAUUGUUGUGCACCUAGUCAUCGCUGCUGCUUCCAAUCCCGCUGUUGAUUCUGCCACCACUGCCACAACCGCCCUUGAGCUGCUGCGCUGUUGUUGAUCUGUUGAACCACCACCCGAGCUACUGUUGGCUUGCCGUUGCUGUUUGUUGGGUUCAAGAUCGCUACUGCUGUUCUUGCUCUGUUCUGCCUCUACUUCUUGUUUCUGGAAUUUGACAAAAGUGC